rnacentral:misc_RNA from 1 species
AAGUCGUAACAAGGUUUCCGUAGGUGAACCUGCGGAAGGAUCAUUACCGAGAGACGGGGUCUGACCGGCCCCAACUCUUCACCCGUGUUUACCAAACCUCGUUGCUUUGGCGGGCCGUCGGGGCUUCCCGCGGGAGGUCUUGCGCCCUCCCCGCGCCCGCCAAAAGCCCAACCGAACUCUAUGAUCAGUGAUGUCCGAGUCAAUAUUCAAUAACUAAAACUUUCAACAACGGAUCUCUUGGUUCCA